UCCACCGGCAUAUCUCUCUCUCUCUCUCUCUCUCUCUCUCCCCCUCCCGUUACCUAGGCUCGUCUAACCCUUAUUCGAAUCUCUUGACCCUUGCCAAGAUCUAUCUAUCUAUCUCUCUCUCUCUCUCAAAUUCUUUGCAUCUGGAUUAUCUGUUCGUUCAUGAAGCUCAGAAAUCAAUAGCUUCCUCGUCCUUGAGACCUUCGUCGACGACAGCGGCAGCAGCCCCGGGGAACAAUGGCGAAGCUGGAAGUUCGGAGAGGCAACAACUUCAUCUCGCUCGGUAAACGAUGUCGUCUGUUGGUUCCAAGCAGGCGUCUUGCUCGACUUCAUGGCUGAAAGAGGAAGAGGCGUCGCUGUUGAGCGUGGAGGCUUCUACCGCGGAUUCGGAGACCGUUGACGUGGAGGCCACCAUGGUCGCGGCCUGAGGAUCAUGAAGAUCACGCCGGUUCAGAAGCAGACCCCUGCUGAUUAGAGGACUCACUUUUUCUGAGUCCCGGAGGCAUUCCGUUCAGAUCAGAGCAUCAUCUUCGGAAGUGACAUCCACUUCUGUUGACACUGGUGAACUGAUAUCAGAAGUUGAAGGCCGAGAGAACAUAGAAACAAGGAAGAAUGGUGAUGUACGCUACAAUACUCGUUAUCAUGUGCGCUUUCAUGUCUGUUCUCCUAGUCCUCAAGGAGAUAUUUUUGGAUCUAAGAGGACAGUUGGUUCCAAAUUUUGGCUCCAUUCUAAUUGUCAUAACCCUUCCUUGAGAGGCUUCAACACGAGAAGAUAUACUCUCCUUAGCAGAAGACAAGAGGGAGUUUUGGCGUGCCUAGGUAGAUAUACUACAUAAAAGUAAUUAUUCUAUUGUAUCCUCUAUAUUUCUGGGUAUUAUUGAACAGUGGGUGGGGGGAGGGUAGUGAUCAGUUAGGGAAUGAAUGACCUGGAAAUUGUAUGUUGUUACUUGAGGAAGAGUGUUUGUCAAUCGAUCUAUGUUGAUUUUUUGAUUUCAUUUGUUCGGGAUUUUGGUGCUUGGAUUCCCCUGCGCCAUAUGAGUAAGAUGAGGGACUUUUAUUCUUUUCAUAUUUAAUCUACUGAUUAAAUAAAACUUCAAUACUUCAAUU